CAGCAGCCACGGUAAUACGUAGGGCGCAAGCGUUAUCCGGAAUUAUUGGGCGUAAAGAGCUCGUAGGCGGUUUGUCGCGUCUGCCGUGGAAGUCCGGGGCUCAACCCCGGAUCUGCGGUGGGUACGGGCAGACUAGAGUGAUGUAGGGGAGACUGGAAUUCCUGGUGUAGCGGUGAAAUGCGCAGAUAUCAGGAGGAACACCGAUGGCGAAGGCAGGUCUCUGGGCAUUAACUGACGCUGAGGAGCGAAAGCAUGGGGAGCGAACAGGAUUAGAUACCCCUGUAGUCCCUGUCUCUUAUAC
rnacentral:rRNA from 1 species